AGAACCCUAGCAAGAAACUAAAGCAGAGAACUCAAAUUGACAAGGGAACCAAACAAACUGGUAACACAAACAAACACAAACGAACACAUAGUACUCACGAAAAGCAGAAGAUAUACGAUUUUGAAAAUGGGUGAUAAACCCUAGCCAGAAAGUUUGAGCAUGGGACUCCAAAUUAACAAGGAAACUAAAUGCUCUUAACAAAAAUACACACAAAAAACCUCAUAAUACUCAAGAAAAGUAGGAGAUAUAGCGACUUUGAAAAGGGUCAGAAACCCUAGUUUGAAAAAGAGGUUCAGAACGUUUGAAAAAACUCGACUUAACCAAAGAUAUCGAGUGAGAUAUAUAGUAGAAAACAAAUACUAAACCAGAAAUUGCUUAGAAAGAUAGGAGUUUAAGAGAUUAGGCAAAGCAAAUUACGGUUAGCAAAACAAGUUAGGGAAAUGAGAACCUGGCCGUAAAACUCAUAUAUAAUGCCAUAGAAGGCAUCAUAGGACAAAAACUACCGGAGAAAGGUCGGAAACAGACCCCAAAUAAAUAUUUAGUGACCUCUUUCAUAGCAGAAGCUGCUGGCUUCAAACCUUAGAGAGAAGACCAUGAUGCAGGGAUACCAUGGUUGCAGGGAAUCGAGAGAAGUGAGGGAGGAGUGAGCCGGAGAAGCGAUGGUCGUCAUCGGAGCAGAUGGAGAGAACCAUAAGGUUCUAGAGAGAUGAGGGUUAGAGAGCAUAGGUUAGAGACG
rnacentral:lncRNA from 1 species